rnacentral:rRNA from 1 species
GCAGUCGCCGCGGUAAUACGUAGGGUGCAAGCGUUAAUCGGAAUUACUGGGCGUAAAGCGUGCGCAGGCGGUUUUGUAAGACAGAGGUGAAAUCCCCGGGCUCAACCUGGGAACUGCCUUUGUGACUGCAAGGCUAGAGUACGGCAGAGGGGGAUGGAAUUCCGCGUGUAGCAGUGAAAUGCGUAGAUAUGCGGAGGAACACCGAUGGCGAAGGCAAUCCCCUGGGCCUGUACUGACGCUCAUGCACGAAAGCGUGGGGAGCAAACAGGAUUAGAUACCCCGGUAGUCCCUGUCUCUUAUAC